UUUUUAGUAUAAGUAUGUUCCAUGUACUAUUUGGAACAUACUUAUACUAAAA
rfam:Pteropus alecto contig109511, whole genome shotgun sequence.